rnacentral:rRNA from 1 species
AAAUUGAAGAGUUUGAUCAUGGCUCAGAUUGAACGCUGGCGGCAGGCCUAACACAUGCAAGUCGAACGGUAACAGGAAGAAGCUUGCUUCUUUGCUGACGAGUGGCGGACGGGUGAGUAAUGUCUGGGAAACUGCCUGAUGGAGGGGGAUAACUACUGGAAACGGUAGCUAAUACCGCAUAAUGUCGCAAGACCAAAGAGGGGGACCUUCGGGCCUCUUGCCAUCGGAUGUGCCCAGAUGGGAUUAGCUAGUAGGUGGGGUAA